rnacentral:rRNA from 1 species
GACGAACGCUGGCGGCGUGCCUAAUACAUACAAGUAGAACGCACAGUUUAUACCGUAGCUUGCUACACCAUAAACUGUGAGUUGCGAACGGGUGAGUAACGCGUAGGUAACCUGCCUGGUAGCGGGGGAUAACUAUUGGAAACGAUAGCUAAUACCGCAUAAUAUUGAUUAUUGCAUGAUAAUUGAUUGAAAGAUGCUAUUGCAUCACUACCAGAUGGACCUGCGUUGUAUUAGCUAGUAGGUGAGGUAACGGCUCACCUAGGCGACGAUACAUAGCCGACCUGAGAGGGUGAUCGGCCACACUGGGACUGAGACACGGCCCAGACUCCUACGGGAGGCAGCAGUAGGGAAUCUUCGGCAAUGGACGAAAGUCUGACCGAGCAACGCCGCGUGAGUGAAGAAGGUUUUCGGAUCGUAAAGCUCUGUUGUAAGAGAAGAACGGGUGUGAGAGUGGAAAGUUCACACUGUGACGGUAUCUUACCAGAAAGGGACGGCUAACUACGUG